ensembl:lncRNA novel transcript
AUUACAUGCCGUGGAGACACAAAGGAUUGCCAGGUACCAGCUUGACCACAAUAGGUCGGAACACCAAGUAGGCUCUUGGGGUCCUGAAUUCAAGGCCUUGGCUCUUGGGUGGCAUUUCUGAGCAUUUCUGAACCUGCCCUGGGACAGAGAGGAGUCCACUGCACUGAAGGGCCUCCAGCAGAUGGGAUGGUGUCUUCCUAUGUUGAGGUCACAUAUUCCCCACCCAGUCCACUCAGGCUUACAUGCUAAUUUCCUCUGAAAACACCUUCAUAAAGACACUCAAAAAUAAUGCUUUACCAGGUUUCUAGGUAUUCCUUAAGCCAAUUAAUUGGAUACCUAAAACUAGGUGUCACAAGCAUGAAGGAUGCCAUGUAUGCUAUUGCCAAUGCUUGGAACACGAUGACUAAAGACACAGUUGAGCAUGCCUGGCACAACCACUGGCCUGUGACUACUUUCAAUGAUAAUAAAGAACAAGAUGUUGACUUUGAAGGAUUCCAUGUGUCAAGUGAGAGUAAGAUGAUAUCUGACUUCCUUACAUAUGCAAAAACUACUCCUUCAGAGUGUUAGUAAGCUCGAAGAAGUGAACAUUGAAGAUGUUUUUAACAUUAAUAAUGAAGUUCUUGUUAAUUCAUUGACUAGUGAAAUAACUGAAAUGGUUCUGAAUCAAGGAGAUAGUGAUAAUAGUGAUGAUGAAGAUGACCCCUUCAACACUGCAGAAAUAGUGCCUAGAGAUGAUAUAAUGAAAAUAUAUAAUGGGCUUAUUGAAGGACUAGAGCAGCUUGCGUUCAUAACUGAACAAGAAAUCAUUUCGGUUUUCAAAAUGAAAGAAACACUUUAAGACAAAAAUGUUUCUUAACGAGGCAAAUGACUCUAGAAAUAACAUUGAAAGACCCAUCUAGCAGAAUGCCUCCUAAUCCCUAGAGGACCCAUUUCCUGCUUCUGACGUGUCUUCUCAUCUUGAAAAUAAAAACACAGUGAACGGUAAACUUUUAAUCAAAACACAGCGUCAUAGGUGGAGACUGCUGUUGCUUGUUAUUGCUGUUGUUUAAAGAAUGAUUCAGGUAUUCUGGUGAUGCUAUUGUGCUGCUUAAUUAUUCUAAAUAUAUUAUUUUUUUGCUAUAUUAAUAUAUCUUUUUUACUGUUAAGUAAUUAUGUGUGAAUAAGGGUUAGAAAAUUAUUGCUUAUCAAUAGCAUAUAAAUUGAGAGUAAGAAAUAAUGAUGAUGUCAAACAACCACAGACUGUCCACAUGGGUGGCUGAGAUAGUGACACCUUUGCUUUCUGAUGGUUCGAUGUACACAAACUUUGUUUCAUGCAUGUAAUUAUUUAAAAUAUGGUAUAAAAUACCUUCAGGCUAGUAUAAGUAUACGUGUAAGUACACAUAUAUAUGUAUAAGUACACAUAUAUGUAUAAGUAUACAUAAGUGUAUAUGCAUAAGUAUACAUAUGUGUAUAUGCAUAAGUAUACAUAUGUGUAUACAUAUAUGUAUAUGUAUAGGUAUAUAUGUAUAAGUAUACAUGUAUAUGUAUAAGUAUAUAUACCUAUACAUAUACUUAUAUAUGUAUAUUUAUACAUAUACAUAUAUGUAUGCUUGUAUAUGUACGUGUAUACAUAUAUAUGUUUAUGUAUAAGUGCAUAUGUAUAAGAAUACAUAUAUGUAUAUGUAUAAGAUAUAUAUGAAACAUAUAUAUGAACAUACAUAUGAAACUAACAUAUGAAACAUAAAUAAAUUUUG